rnacentral:ncRNA from 1 species
GGUCGGGAGUUGGAGGCUAUACAAUACCCGCAAGGGAAAAACCUCCGGCCGUUCUGAGUACGGUUUUGAAGCUCCCGGCCUUUUUAUU